rnacentral:lncRNA from 1 species
GCAAGUAAAUGGAGAAUACUGAUGUGAAAAUCGAAACUUGCAGAAUUACUUGAAGAAAAUAAUAGAAUUACUCUGCAGUUUCGGGGAAGUUGAGUUCAUACACUUAACAAGAGAAGAGAAUGAACAUACUAAUGAGCUAGCUCAAUCGGGUUCAAGAUAUAAAGAGCUGAGACUAGAUCAAGUGAAAGUAGAGCGAAGAUUAUUACUGUAAUGUAUUGGAUUCUUAAUAUAAAAGUAAAUAUAAAUAAAAAUAGUGUAAGAUACUAUUUUUAUUGGACUUAAAGAAGUAAAAUAUAAGUCAGAGCGAUUUGUGCUGAAAUCGGAACCGAAACCGAAAACUUAGAGUUUUCUGUAAAGAAUGGGAUUGAUAUUUUAGCAGAAAAUUCACAGUGCCAGAAAAUUAUGAAAAUCUGAAAUAUAUCAGGAUUAUUUUUAUGAGGCUAGAUUUAAAAUUACAUGUCAUUCCGACACCCGAAAAGUGGAAAAUAAAAUCGGACUGCUAUCUACUAGAGAUUUUGGGUCGGUAGAGCUUGCGAUGACAAAAAAUGGUCGAAACUGAAAAGUUAAGUAAUUUCCUUUUUAUUAGCUUAAACCGAGCCUGACUGUCAAAUUUGAGAGAAAACGGACAUUCAGAAGGGCUCCGGCGAAGAGGAACAGAUUCUGAGCUUCUAAACUGAAAUUGUGUUAAUGUUGGAGGUUGACUAUCAAAAGGGGU